CUUGGUCAUUUAGAGGAAGUAAAAGUCGUAACAAGGUUUCCGUAGGUGAACCUGCGGAAGGAUCAUUACAAUUCAGUAGCUUGCUACUGUUAGGAGGUGCUGUUAGCCCGCAUAGUUUAAUUACUGAUGAGCGGCAGGCCCUCUGUUUGUACCCUUGUCUCUUGCGCACUCAUGUUUCCUCGGCGGGCUUGCCCGCCGGUUGGACAAAACUAUAACCUUUUUAAUUUUCAAUCAGCGUCUGAAAAAACUUAAUAAUUACACUUUCAACAACGGAUCUCUUGGUUCUGGCAUCGAUGAAGAACGCAGCGAAAUGCGAUAAGUAGUGUGAAUUGCAGAAUUCAGUGAAUCAUCGAAUCUUUGAACGCACAUUGCGCCCCUUGGUAUUCCAUGGGGCAUGCCUGUUCGAGCGUCAUUUGUACCCUCAAGCUUUGCUUGGUGUUGGGUGUUUGUCCUCUCCUUUGCGUUUGGACUCGCCUUAAAGCAAUUGGCAGCCAGUGUUUUGGUAUUGAAGCGCAGCACAAUUUGCGAUUCUAGCCGACAGCACUUGCGUCCAUAAGCCUUUUUUAACUUUUGACCUCGGANUCAGGUAGGGAUACCCGCUGAACUUAAGCAUAUUCAACACCUGCU
rnacentral:rRNA from 1 species